GAAGUGUCCGAUCGGAACCAGCCCUGUGGGAGAGGAGAGCUCUUUAAACUAAAAAAGGCCUUUCACAGAGCAGAAGUGGGAUUCUGAUCAUACAUUUUAUCUCAAGAUGACAACAGAAUCAAAGAAAGCUGCAGCUCAGAACCUUCAAGAGCAUGAAGGACUUCUGAUAGUGAAGAUUGAAGAGGAAGAUUUUGUCUGGAAGCAGGACACUUGCUUACAGAGAAGUGAUCCCCUCAGGCAGGAGCUCUGCCGGCAGCUGUUCAGGCAGUUCUGCUACCAGGAUUCCCCAGGACCCCGCGAGGCACUGAGCCGGCUGCGAGAGCUCUGCUGUCAGUGGCUGAAGCCAGAAACCCACACCAAGGAGCAGAUCCUGGAGCUACUGGUGCUAGAGCAGUUCCUGACCAUCCUGCCAGGGGAUCUACAGGCUUGGGUGCAUGAACAUUACCCAGAGACUGGAGAGGAGGCAGUGACCAUACUGGAAGAUUUAGAGAGAGGCACUGAUGAAGCAGUACUCCAGAUUCCAGUCUGUGGACAUGGACAAGAAGUAUUCAGGAGAAAAGUGGCACCUCCUGGACCACCACUUAGUGUCCAGUUCCAGCCAGUGAACACCAAGGUCCUUCAUGGUUCUUCAGAACCCCAACUCCUACUGGACCAUGAUAAUAAGAGUGAAAACAGUGGAUCCAUGCCAAAGCUGGAAAUUUAUGAGAGAAUGGAAUCGCAGAGAAUUAUAUCAGGAAGAAUUUCAGGAUUUGUAUCAGAAGGAUCUGCUGAGCCUCAAGACAUCUGUAAGUCUACAGGCAGGAUAAAGAGACAACAGGAAAAAGAAUCAGGGGAGUCUCAGAAACCAUCAUCUGCUCAGGAUGGAGGUUUUAGUAAAAUCCUCACCCACAAAAAUACACUUACAGGUGAAAUAAUAAGCCAUGAUUGUUGUGAGAGAAGCCUAAAUCUGAACUCAAAUGAAUUUUCACACCAGAAAUCUUGUAAACACAGUACCUGUGACCAAAGUUUCAAAUGGAAUUCAGAUUUUAUUAAGCAUCAAAGAAUUUAUGCUGGAGAAAAAAUUUACCAAUAUGGAAAAUCUCUCAAGAGCCCAAACCUUAUUAAACAUGCAGCAAUUUUCAGUGGAGAGAAAACUCAUCAGUGUAAUGAAUGUGGGAAAGCUUUCAGACACAGCUCAAAGCUUAUUAGGCAUCAGAGAAUCCACACUGGAGAGAGACCUUACGAAUGUAAUGAGUGUGGGAAAGGCUUUGGGGGGAGCUCAGAUCUUAUUAGACACCAGAGGAUUCACACUGGGGAAAGACCCUUUGAAUGCAAAGAAUGUGGGAGAGCAUUCAGCCUGAACUCACAUCUUAUCCUGCAUCAGAGAAUUCACACCAGAGAGAAACCCUAUGAAUGUAGUGAAUGUGGGAAAACCUUCAGAGUGAGCUCACACCUUAUUCGACACCUGAGAAUCCACACUGGAGAGAAACCCUAUGAAUGCAGUGAGUGUGGGAGAGCCUUCAGUCAGAGCUCACACCUUAGUCAACAUCAGAGAAUUCACAAGAGGGAAAACCUAUUAAUGUAAAGAACUUAAAUUCAUAAGGAAAUAGCAAAACGUGAAAAACAUUGAAUAAAAAAUAAAUACUGGGUGAGAUGAAUGACUGUAAGACCAGUGUCUCUUUAUUCUCUCUCUCAUUCUCAGUUUUCUGUUCUGCAUAUGAUCUUCAUCUGUAUGUGUCUGCUUUCUGUGAGACGUGGAUGGUACCUCUUCCGUUGACCGCUAAAAUCAAACCAAAAUAGCAGAAUUUGGGGGAGGCUAAUAAAUGGGUUAGUCUAUGGCAAUGAAAAUAGAAAAAGAGGACGCUUUUGGGAAAUAACCAUGAUUACAGUGUGGGGGGAAGAAGAUUCAGGUAAAGAGACUGAUCAUCAACUCUAGUUAAUGAUUCUCCACAAGAGGAGGUAGGCUAAGCCCAGGAGUGGAAUAGCUUGAGCAAGGUACUGCAGAACAGUUCUUUUGGAAGAUUCCUUUAAAGAAUGAAGACAUAGCACAACUAAAUUAGACAGUCGUGUCAAACGAGAGGACAUAUGCAGUGGUGGCAUUCCAAUAUGUAAGCCAAAAUCUGUGUCCAGAGGUCAUGCCAGGAAGUGAACAACCGGAAGAGCAUUUAAAGCAAGAGGCCAUAAUCCAGAGAUUCAAAUAAGACAGGAGGAGAAUAGAAGCAAAUUAGGCAAGAGCUAGGGUUAGAGGUAAGGAAAGGUGUUCAAAUUGAACUAAACCUUAGAAUUUGGAGGAGAUACACAGUAGUAUAACUGGGAUUUUACUGCCACGUAUGCUGUGGGGUUUUUGGCACCUUCCUGGGGUAGGUGGAUAGAGAGUGUAGUUCUGGGGAGCUCUCUUGACAGAAAUAGGGUUCUCUGGCUACUGACAAUUGUGGAAGAGGGCUGAAGGAAUUAGUACUAAAAAUAUAGGUCCUGAAACUUUAUUUCAUUGCUGCUGGCUGCUAUUCUCUCCAGAAAAGACCUAGAGCAGAGUGUAGAAAGGGUAGGUAUCUGAGAGAAGAGUGGAGAGGAAUCUGCAACAAGUUGGAACUCUACCAAUGAUUUCAGUAUAUAAAGGUGAAUCCUGCUCUACUUGUUUUACCUUUUAGAUGAAGCACAUUUGAACUAAUACGAGAAAUAAAAACAUUUAAGGCCUAAA